CCGAGUUUUCCCAAAACUCCCAAACCCCAUUGUGAACCUUACCCUUCUGUUGCCUCGGCGGGACGCCCCGGGCGCGUCGCAGCCCCGGGCCAAAGGCGCCCGCCGGAGGACCCCAAACGAAACCCUUUGCAGCCACCGGCCAGCGGUGCAUCUUCUCCUCCUCUGAACCUCACCCGGAAGCUCCCCGGAGCGGACGGAAAUGAAUCA
rnacentral:misc_RNA from 1 species